GCCUCACUGAGGUUUGAUGGUGCCCUGAAUGUGGAUGUGACCGAGUUCCAGACCAACCUGGUGCCUUACCCUAGGAUCCACUUUAUGCUUUCCUCUUAUGCUCCUGUUAUCUCGGCUGAGAAAGCCUACCAUGAGCAGCUGUCCGUGGCUGAAAUCACUAACAGUGCCUUUGAACCGUCUUCCAUGAUGGCUAAGUGCGAUCCUCGCCAUGGCAAGUACAUGGCCUGCUGCCUCAUGUACCGUGGUGACGUUGUGCCCAAGGAUGUCAAUGCUGCUGUGGCCACUAUCAAGACCAAGCGCACCAUUCAAUUUGUGGACUGGUGCCCUACUGGGUUCAAGUGCGGUAUCAACUACCAGCCGCCUACUGUGGUUCCCGGUGGUGACCUUGCCAAGGUGCAGAGAGCUGUGUGCAUGAUUUCCAACUCGACCAGUGUGGCCGAGGUCUUCUCUCGGAUCGAUCACAAGUUUGAUC
rnacentral:lncRNA from 1 species